GACUGGAACCAUCUGCAAAAGAAGACACUUAUGCAAGGCUUCAGCCCUUGGCUCAAGCAGUUUUAAGAGCCUGCUGCCUGCAGAAGUGGCCCUGUUUCCAGCAGGUUAGCAGUGUGAUUGACCAGGAGAGCUGCUCUAGAUUCCUGCAAGUGCUGUAAACACUGGCGUGAUUCACAUUAAAGUGUCUGCCGCUGAAACGUGCCCGGAUCGGACGAGCUCCAUGCGCGAUCCCGGCCGUUCUCRUGGGAAAUAUGCAGCUACUUGCGCCCGUGCGGUGCCUGACCCCGGCCACGGUGCAGGCAGCUGCGAGCAGCAGCUUGCUUGCUUGUUUGCUUAUUUUUGCUGCUUGCAAAGCCCUUGGUGCAAUCAGCAUCUGUAACUGGGGCUCGCGUAGUCUGUGGCAAUACUAAUAAAUAUCUCUGACAACUGGA